GUUUAAUNAAAAUGAUCUUUUNGNNGGAUUUCCUCNCUUCGGNGUUGAUUCCCUUGUURCUUUGAGUAAAUUAGAGUGUUCAAAGAANACAGAUAUAGCNNUGCGCGUUUGAAUACUGCAGCAUGGANNACAAAUUGAACAAGUCARANKUUGUUNUUUUUCUUAUUUGGCUUAGUUACGAUUAAUAGGAGUAGCUUGGGGGCAUUUGUAUUCAGAUGUCAGAGGUGAAAUUCUUAGAUUUUCUGGAGACAAACAACUGCGAAAGCAUUUGCCUAAAAUACUUCCAUUAAUCAAGAACGAAAGUUAAGGGAGUGAAGACGAUCAGAUACCGUCGUAAUCUUAACCAUAAACUAUGCCGACUAGGCUUUGGAUGAAAGAUUUUAAAAUAGGAGUGUUCUCUUCGGAGUUUAUUCUUAGAUUGCUUCCUUCAGUGCCUUAUGAGAAAUCAAAGUCUUUGGGUUCUGGGGCGAGUAUUCGCGCAAGCGAGAAAGUUAAAAGAAUUGACGGAAGGGCACCACCAGGCGUGGAGCUUGCGGCUUAAUUUGACUCAACACGGGAAAACUCACUAGUUUAAGACAAGAGUAGGAUUGACAGAUUAAUAGCUCUUUCUUGAUUUCUUGGAUGGUGAUGCAUGGCCGUUUUUAGUUCGUGAAUAUGAUUUGUCUGGUUAAUUCCGAUAACGAACGAGAUCUUAACCUGCUAAUUAGCGGCAAAUACGAUAUAUUCUUUCGUGGGACUGAAUACGGAUGANUUGCUUACUUUGAAGAAAAUAUUGGGAUACGUAACAGUUUCCCUUUCCCUUUUCUACUUAGUUCGCUUUUCAUACUGUUUCUUUUUCGCGUAAGAAUGNAUUUGCUUGAUGUAAAGCUUCUUANA
rnacentral:rRNA from 1 species